rnacentral:tRNA from 1 species
GGACAUAUAGCUCAAUGGUAGAGCGUGUGCCUAGUAUGUACAAAGUCCUGGGUUCAAUCCCUGGUACCUCCA